rnacentral:snoRNA from 1 species
UCGCGCGGAUGUGAAAAGAAAUCCAACACUUACUCUCAAAGUGGGGAUAUAAAUCGAAUCGAGCUUUUUAACCCUGAGCGAU